GGCCUACCAUGGUGGUAACGGGUAGCGGGGUGUUAGGGCACGACACCGGAGAGGGAGCCUGAGAAACGGCUACCACAUCCAGGGAUGGCAGCAGGCGCGCAAAUUACCCAAUCCCGACACGGGGAGGUAGUGACAAUAAAUAACAAUACGGGGUUCUUUCGGAUCUCGUAAUUGGAAUGAGUACAAUUUAAAUCUCUUAACGAGGAACAAUUGGAGGGCAAGUCUGGUGCCAGCAGCCGCGGUAAUUCCAGCUCCAAUAGCGUAUAUUAAAGUUGUUGCAGUUAAAAAGCUCGUAGUUGAAUUUCGGGGUCAGCAGGUUGGUCGUGCCAAUGGUAUGCACUGGCCUUGCUGAUUCCUCCCUCUUGAUGAGCCGUAAUGCCAUUAAUUUGGUGUUGCGGGGAAUCAGGACUGUUACUUUGAAAAAAUUAGAGUGUUUAAAGCAGGCAAGCGCUUGAAUACAUUAGCAUGGAAUAAUGAAAUAGGACGUUCGAUCCUAUUUUGUUGGUUUCUAGGAUUGACGUAAUGAUUAAUAGGGAUAGUUGGGGGCAUUAGUAUUCAAUUGUCAGAGGUGAAAUUCUUGGAUUUAUUGAAGACUAACUACUGCGAAAGCAUUUGCCAAGGAUGUUUUCAUUAAUCAAGAACGAAAGUUAGGGGAUCGAAGACGAUCAGAUACCGUCGUAGUCUUAACCAUAAACUAUGCCGACUAGGGAUCGGAUGAUGUUAAUUUUUUAAUGACUCAUUCGGCGCCUUACG
rnacentral:rRNA from 1 species